rnacentral:rRNA from 1 species
UACAGAGGUCUCAAGCGUUGUUCGGAUUCAUUGGGCGUAAAGGGUGCGUAGGCGGCGCGGUAAGUCGGGUGUGAAAUCUCGGGGCUUAACUCCGAAACCGCAUUCGAUACUGCCGUGCUUGAGGACUGGAGAGGAGACUGGAAUUUACGGUGUAGCGGUGAAAUGCGUAGAUAUCGUAAGGAGGACCAGUGGCGAAGGCGGGUCUCUGGACAGUUCCUGACGCUGAGGCACGAAGGCCAGGGGAGCAAACGGG